GUUAGCAGUGAAUACAGUUCUAUCACAAUUUGCGGGAUUUCAAUAUAAGAAUGGGUACCUAACAACGCAAAGUAGUUCUACACAGAUUUUCUUGUCACACACAAGUGAUAAGAUUUUGAAUUGUCAGUAGUUCAUUUUUGAUUGUGUUAUUUCUAUCGUAUAUUAUUUGCAUGUUUUCAGGAUAUAAUCAGUAAAAAAAUCAUUAGUAUUCAUUCGCGUUAACUUUGAGUAAGGAAGUAGUUCGUACCAAAACAAAGUUUUCGACGCUAUUUUUGUAUGUGAAAGCUGAUCUCAUCAUUUUCUAAAAAAGUUACAGCAGAGAGAGAGUUUGACAGUAUGCGUGUUUGAAGAAGAUAAUGCUAUUAUUGGUACAUUCAAUUCCACGAACUGAGUGUUGAUUUCCUCGAUUUCAUUGACUCGAUGAUUCAUUCUCUGAUUGAUGAUUGUUGAUUGAAUGUUCUAAUGAUCAAUCAACUUAUUGAUUUACUGAUUGAUUGGACAUGUCAUGGAGCUUAAUAUAGAUGGAGAAGUAACUUAGACGUCAUACA